GCGUGCCUUUUGCAUAAUGAGCCUACGAGUUACUCCUAUCUAGCAAGUUUAAGGCUUUCAGAGCCGCAAGCGUAGCGAAAGCGAGUCUGAAUAGGGCGUAUAGUUAGUAGUAGUAGACGCGAAACCGAGUGAUCUACCCAUGGGCAGGUUGAAGCUGUGGUAACACACAGUGGAGGACCGAACCAGUUGACGUUGAAAAGUCUUUGGAUGACCUGUGGGUAGGGGUGAAAGGCCAAUCAAGCUCGGAAAUAGCUCGUACUCCCCGAAAUGCAUUUAGG
rnacentral:rRNA from 1 species